CCUACGGGUGGCAGCAGUGAGGAAUAUUUGUCAAUGGACGAGAGUCUGAACCAGCCAAGUAGCGUGAAGGAUGACUGCCCUAUGGGUUGUAAACUUCUUUUAUAUGGGAAUAAAAUGUUCCACGUGUGGGAUUUUGUAUGUACCAUAUGAAUAAGGAUCGGCUAACUCCGUGCCAGCAGCCGCGGUAAUACGGAGGAUCCGAGCGUUAUCCGGAUUUAUUGGGUUUAAAGGGAGCGUAGGUGGAUUGUUAAGUCAGUUGUGAAAGUUUGCGGCUCAACCGUAAAAUUGCAGUUGAAACUGGCAGUCUUGAGGACAGUAGAGGUGGGCGGAAUUCGUGGUGUAGCGGUGAAAUGCUUAGAUAUCACGAAGAACUCCGAUUGCGAAGGCAGUUCACUGGACUGCAACUGACACUGAGGCUCGAAAGUGUGGGUAUCAAACAGGAUUAGAUACCCGUGUAGUC
rnacentral:rRNA from 1 species